AAGACUAUACUUUUAGAUAUCAUUCUAUAGUAUGUUGCUAGAGAAUUGUGGCUGAAAGUGUAUUAUGGCGGUAACCACGAGGAGGAGCGGUGGUGUUCUCUUCUGAGCUUGAAGACAGUUUGUGACUCUGCUUGUCAGCAACUGUCGCCUAUCAUUGAUGAUUGUUCUUCCCUGCCUUUGGGUUGGGCAAGAGGAAGAGAAUGCAGGCUGAGUGGC
ensembl:snoRNA U3 Small nucleolar RNA U3